GCCCCUUACCUGCCCAGGUGGCCGGAGCCUCGGCAGGUGUGUGUCAGGUGAAGAGGAAGCCGUGGCGGUCGUCUCGGAUCAUCCCACCACCAUGGGGGAGCCGCAGUUGGCGGCAAGAAGAGCUUGCGUUCUUGCCCUUGUGCACGAAUUAAUAAUCAGAGUGAAGCGAGCAGAAGCUGAAAGAUGCAACCCAAGUUGGUUUUCUCUGAGACCUCUGAAUACAUUCCCAAUGAAUCAUCCAGAACGUGGUCAGAUGGAGGUUCAGACUUGGUGUGCAUGAGAUGGGGCCUGAGAGCGUGCAUUUCGGACACCAGUGAGGCUGCUGGUGAAGGCCCACGGAUCUCACAGGAGGGACAAGGCUGAAGAGGACUCAUGAAUGGCUCUGGGAAAAUGACUGGGAUGUGCCCCGGUUCCUGAGAAACAGAAGCGGUAGAAAAAGCUUGUGAAGGAAAACUGGCUGGUGUGGUGGUGGAAGCUGACCAGCUCGGAGAUCUGCAGUUGGCCAGCGGGUGGCCCGGAAAGGCCAAUGCCACAGUCCUAAUCUGUGCCUGCAGGGCCGACAGCCAGGAGUGCUGAGGGUGUGAGUUCCAGUCUGAAUGCCGGCAGGCUUGAGAUGAUAGAAAUUAUGUCCAAAUUUGAGUCUAAAAGCAGGAAAAGAAGGAAGACCCUUUCCCAGCCCGAUGCCUGGUGGGCAAGAGGGCUCCUUCUCACAGGGGUGAACAUUUUUGUUCUAUGCAGGCCUUCACCUGAUCACAUGAGGCCCACCCAAAUUAGGGAGGGCAAUUUUCUUUGCUCAGUUCACCAAUUCAAAUAAUAAUCCCACCUAAGGACACAUGAACAUGUCCAGAAUAAUAUUUCACCAAAUGUCUGGCUACUCUGGCCCCAGACAACUUGACAUAAAGUGAACCAUCCCAGAUUGGGAACGCUUGUACCCUUUUGGAGUCUUCAUGACCCUUGGGUUGACCUUGCUUUUCUUCUCAUAGUUCUUUAGUGAGAAUAUCUAGAUAUGUCUCCUCAUGAGCUAAAUGUUCUUUGCUGCACUGGAUCUCCAAAUAUUCAAGGAUAUUUCUCCAUAGGCUGCCUGGGUUUGUGACAUUUUUAGCAUAAAAAGGACAAACAUUACAUUGAAUUUACAGAGCCC
rnacentral:lncRNA from 1 species